rnacentral:rRNA from 1 species
CGGACGGGUGAGUAACGCGUGAGAAUCUAGCUUCAGGUCGGGGACAACCACUGGAAACGGUGGCUAAUACCGGAUGUGCCGAAAGGUGAAAGACUUACUGCCUGAAGAUGAGCUCGCGUCUGAUUAGCUAGUUGGUGGGGUAAGAGCCCACCAAGGCGACGAUCAGUAGCUGGUCUGAGAGGAUGAUCAGCCACACUGGGACUGAGACACGGCCCAGACUCCUACGGGAGGCAGCAGUGGGGAAUUUUCCGCAAUGGGCGAAAGCCUGACGGAGCAAUACCGCGUGAGGGAGGAAGGCUCUUGGGUUGUAAACCUCUUUUCUCAGGGAAGAACACAAUGACGGUACCUGAGGAAUCAGCAUCGGCUAACUCCGUGCCAGCAGCCGCGGUAAUACGGAGGAUGCAAGCGUUAUCCGGAAUGAUUGGGCGUAAAGCGUCCGCAGGUGGCCUUGUAAGUCUGCUGUCAAAGAGCGAAGCUCAACUUCGUAAAGGCAGUGGAAACUACACGGCUAGAGUGCGUUCGGGGCAGAGGGAAUUCCUGGUGUAGCGGUGAAAUGCGUAGAGAUCAGGAAGAACACCGGUGGCGAAGGCGCUCUGCUAGGCCGCAACUGACACUGAGGGACGAAAGCUAGGGGAGCGA